rnacentral:rRNA from 1 species
AUUGAACGCUGGCGGCAGGCUUAACACAUGCAAGUCGAGCGGAGCGAGGGUGCUUGCACCUUAGCUUAGCGGCGGACGGGUGAGUAAUGCUUAGGAAUCUGCCUAUUAGUGGGGGACGACAUUCCGAAAGGAAUGCUAAUACCGCAUACGCCCUACGGGGGAAAGCAGGGGAUCUUCGGACCUUGCGCUAAUAGCUGAGCUUAAGUCGGAUUAGCUAGUCGGUGGGGUGAAGGCCUACCAAGGCGACGAUCUGUAGCGGGUCUGAGAGGAUGAUCCGCCACACUGGGACUGAGACACGGCCCAGACUCCUACGGGAGGCAGCAGUGGGGAAUAUUGGACAAUGGGCGGAAGCCUGAUCCAGCCAUGCCGCGUGUGUGAAGAAGGCCUUUUGGUUGUAAAGCACUUUAAGCGAGGAGGAGGCUACUUAGAUUAAUACUCUGGGAUAGUGGACGUUACUCGCAGAAUAAGCACCGGCUAACUCUGUGCCAGCAGCCGCCGUAA